CCUACGGGAGGCUGCAGUGGGGAAUAUUGCACAAUGGGGGAAACCCUGAUGCAGCGACGCCGCGUGAGUGAAGAAGUAUUUCGGUAUGUAAAGCUCUGUCAGCCGGGAAGAAAAUGACGGUACCUGACCAAGAAGCCACGUCUAACUACGUGCCAGCAGCCGCGGUAAUACGUAGGGCGCAAGCGUUAUCCGGAUUUACUGGGUGUAAAGGGAGCGUAGACGGCAGUGAAAGUCUGGAGUGAAAGGCGGGGGCUCAACCCCCGGACUGCUCUUGAAACUGCCAGUCUGGAGUGCAGGAGAGGGAAGUGGAAUUCCUGGUGUAGCGGUGAAAUGCGUAGAUAUUAGGAGGAACACCAGUUGCGAAGGCGGCUUACUGGACUGUAACUGACGUUGAGGCUCGAAAGCGUGGGGAGCAAACAGGAUUAGAUACCCCAGUAGUC
rnacentral:rRNA from 1 species